ACUGUUAAUAUAAAUCAAUAUUUAUUUAAUCUAUAAAGUAGAUUGUUAAUACAUUAAUAGUUUGCAUUGUAUAAAUAAAGAAAAUUAAGCUAAGAUGAGACUUUUCAUGAUAUAAUCCGAACUUAUGAUAUAUGUGUAUCAAGUGUAAGGUUUAAAUCCAAAUCUGUAAAAAGUAGCAGGCGAUGCAUGUUGAGUUAAUUUUCAUCACAUUGGUUGUUUAACAAUUAGCACAAUUUUCAAUCCACCCUUUCACUGCCCCUCGCCGUCACGCGUCUUCGCAAUCCAAGGUCGCUCCUGUUCCGUACGCCGGAGCUCAUGCUUCGACACUCCCUCAAGGGCGACGAGCUUGUAAGGAUUGAACCGCCGAGUGCGGCGAUCUUGUCCACCGUCAAUCAACGCGCACCACUUCUCCCUUUUUCGAUUGUUCCUUCUUUUAUUUGCAAAAGGGGUUGUUAUAAAUGUAGUUUGAGAUGAUGGAGGUUGAAGGAGAUGAUGGGCGCUUGCAAUUACCGCAAUCGUGAUUCGGAUGAUAGGAUUAGGGUUCAUUCGCGAUUAGGGUUCGCGUUCUGAAUUGGGGCUAAUUUGGUUUUCUGUUCUUUUAAGUUUUUCACCGCCGCAACCCAAAUUGGGGCCUUUCGAAGCUGCACGAAGUGCGUCGGUGGGGGAUAGCGCUGUUCAUGAUGGCGGUGAUGACAGUGAAUAUCUGUUUUGCAGGUUUGAGUGGAACAGAUGAUGGUGCAGUGGUUGCUGGUGUAGGGAUUGAGGUUCUCGGACGACCGAAUCGGAGAGAGGCAAGGUUGGGGGAAGAGAUUGAGAUGGCGCCCCCAGACAGCCUUGAAGAUCGAAUUACCGGUGUGUUGGAGUCAUGGAAUUUGGGAAUGUUGAGUUGACGAAGGAGUCCCAAAAUGAUUAACCUAUCUUUUGGUGAAAGAAUGGUCUUGGGAUGAAAUGAGGAACAUGACUUGAUAUCUUCUGGGUGGAGAAUUUGGAACCGUGGAAGACCGAAUUCGAGUCUCUAUUAGUACUGAGAAGGAUUAAGAAGAGACUUAAAGGAUUAUGCAACAAGCUCUAGGGAAAGAGCUGAGGAGUUCGACAUCUCUUUGUCAAAAUGGGAAUGAUGAACCAGGUCUCUCCCACUCACUGGGUUAUUUAGGAGAAGAGUGAAUCUGGGUUUCUAGUGUCACGCUGCUCUAUCUUUGCCGGAGGCUGCAGAUUUCGUUGUUACUCAGGUUGAUCGAAAAUUUUAGUUUGCUAGGGAGAAAACCUAUUUUGGAUUCUAUUUUGUAUGAAAGAAUUGAAUCAUGAGUUUCAUCUAUGUUGUAAAUGUUUUAACUUUGCGUAA